GAUCCUGGCUCAGAGUGAACGCUGGCGGUAGGCCUAACACAUGCAAGUCGAACGGCAGCACAGUAAGAGCUUGCUCUUAUGGGUGGCGAGUGGCGGACGGGUGAGGAAUACAUCGGAAUCUACUCUGUCGUGGGGGAUAACGUAGGGAAACUUACGCUAAUACCGCAUACGACCUACGGGUGAAAGCAGGGGAUCUUCGGACCUUGCGCGAUUGAAUGAGCCGAUGUCGGAUUAGCUAGUUGG
rnacentral:rRNA from 1 species